rnacentral:misc_RNA from 1 species
GAUGAAGAACGUAGCGAAAUGCGAUAAGUAAUGUGAAUUGCAGAAUUCAGUGAAUCAUCGAAUCUUUGAACGCACAUUGCGCCCGGUAGUAUUCUGCCGGGCAUGCCUGUUCGAGCGUCAUUUCAACCAUCAAGCCCCAGCGCUUGUGUUGGGGGCCUGCGGCUGCCGCAGCCCCCCAAAAGCAGUGGCGGGCUCGCUAUCACACCGAGUGCAGUAGUUCAUCUUCUCUCCGGUCUUGUGAGGCGGGUUCCGGCCGUGAAACACCCCACUACAUUCAAGGUUGACCUCGGAUCGGGUAGGACUACCCGCUGAACUUAAGCAUAUCAAUAAGCGGAGGA